rnacentral:lncRNA from 1 species
AUCCUAGCUUUGAAUGAAAACCACUGCGGUAUAGCUGGGUUAUGGACAAAUCAGUUGAAAUCUGUUAUGGAAUUCACGUGUAAAGAUGGUCAUCUCAAUGGUCGUUACAAUACAGCAGUUGGAGUAGCAGAUGAUUACUACAACUUAACCGGAAAGUACACAAUGUCUGGUCCAAAUGGCGCUGACUGUGUCAUGGGAUGGGUAGUUACCUACAACAACAAGGUUUUGGGAAAUUCCAACUCAACGUGUGCUUGGUCGGGCAUACAUUAUGCACAUGAGCAUGUGAUUCGGACCCACUGGGUACUUACCCAUUGGCAUCCAUUGGCAGACACUUGGCAGACAACAACUAUCAACCACGAUGACUUUGUCAGCUUGUGUUAAUACGGACAGACACAACCAGAAAACCAGAAAUUUACAAACAUAUUAUCAAUGAAAAUAGAAGGAAAACAGUUUGCAUUGAUUUUGUAUUGUAAAAAUAAACAAUAAAAGUUUUAUUUCACA